GAGCCGUGGCACUGUCAAGUCAUCAGACGCGGUGAUUGCGAGGCCUGUGGGAAAGUACAAAAGCCUGGGCUAGAUUACCCCUCUCAUCGAGCCCGCCUGUGUGGCACCUGUUUCUUAUCACCCCACUAAGUUCCCGCCUCACAGGGUAGUCUGCCUAGCUAUUAAUCCUAUAUAUAGCCAGUGCCUCCACCCCCGAGAGAGAGAGAGACUGAAGCACAAAAGGAGCCGCGGGGAGCGGACCGGUAGAGGCUUCGGGGCAGACUGAAGCACGGAAGGAGCCGCGGAGAGCGGACCGGUAGAGGCUUCGGGGCAGACUGUAUAAGGAGAGAAUAAAGAAAAGCCUGACCACCGCCAGACCUUGUCGUGUGUCUUUCCUGCCGGCCGGGAGCGGACAUCGACAUUUGGUGGCCCGCACGGGGAUUGAUCAACCCCGAGACGCGGCGGUGGACUGCAUUCUCCUACACAGUGCUGCAGCUGCAGGACAGGAAUCGGGACGAGAGCCAAUGUGGGUCCCAGAGAGGUUGACGCGACAAGUCCCUCGACUGAAGAUCAGGCCUGUUCCACCAGAGGCCAACCGCAGACCCAACAACAAGAUGAGCCCUAAAAGAACUGCAGGACAAUCCCUUUUUGGGGGCCUGGAAAGGCUUGCUCCCCUAUGUGCUACCCUUGUAUACGCAUGGCUCGCUCGCAUGGCCUACGACCGCGUUUAAAAGUGACAGGCUUCCCACAUUCUCCUCCCUAGACAACAACAUGUAGCAGGGUGGGUGAGUCAAUGACGGGUAAGAGCGUGCCUCCCCAGCACGACUCAACCUAAGCCAGGCCCUACCCCGUUCCGCUCGAAAGCCGCUGGAUUGUUAGAUAAAUUUCUCUCCAAGGGGAUUCGUGGAGAGAAAUGAGUGCAUGCCUAUGUGCAACCAGGUUCCGUCCGGUUCAUUCCUGGCCCUAGAAAAAAGGACGAGGGCCUCAGGGCCUUGGUGGACCCUGGGACGGCCGACCAGGGUCUACACUAAGGGCCUACGGUGGGCCUCAGUUCGGGGCAUAGGCCUCUGCACUCUAUCCAGGACGGGCUGCGAUGCGCGUAGCCAUCAUUUAAAAUAAAAUAGGGGGAGAUGUUGGGAGCCGUGGCACUGUCAAGUCAUCAGACGCGGUGAUUGCGAGGCCUGUGGGAAAGUACAAAAGCCUGGGCUAGAUUACCCCUCUCAUCGAGCCCGCCUGUGUGGCACCUGUUUCUUAUCACCCCACUAAGUUCCCGCCUCACAGGGUAGUCUGCCUAGCUAUUAAUCCUAUAUAUAGCCAGUGCCUCCACCCCCGAGAGAGAGAGAGACUGAAGCACAAAAGGAGCCGCGGGGAGCGGACCGGUAGAGGCUUCGGGGCAGACUGAAGCACGGAAGGAGCCGCGGAGAGCGGACCGGUAGAGGCUUCGGGGCAGACUGUAUAAGGAGAGAAUAAAGAAAAGCCUGACCACCGCCA